AUUGAACGCUGGCGGCAGGCCUAACACAUGCAAGUCGAAUGGUAACAGGAAACAGCUUGCUGUUUCACUGACGAGUGGCGGACGGGUGAGUAAUGUCUGGGAAACUGCCUGAUGGAGGGGGAUAACUACUGGAAACGGUAGCUAAUACCGCAUAACGUCGCAAGACCAAAGAGGGGGACCUUCGGGCCUCUUGCCAUCAGAUGUGCCCAGAUGGGAUUAGCUAGUAGGUGGGGUAACGGCUCACCUAGGCGACGAUCCCUAGCUGGUCUGAGAGGAUGACCAGCCACACUGGAACUGAGACACGGUCCAGACUCCUACGGGAGGCAGCAGUGGGGAAUAUUGCACAAUGGGCGCAAGCCUGAUGCAGCCAUGCCGCGUGUAUGAAGAAGGCCUUCGGGUUGUAAAGUACUUUCAGCGGGGAGGAAGGGAGUAAAGUUAAUACCUUUGCUCAUUGACGUUACCCGCAGAAGAAGCACCGGCUAACUCCGUG
rnacentral:rRNA from 1 species